UAUUCUUUGAUCUGUGUUCUGUGUUGAAGCAAUGAGUUUCUUCGCACAUUACAACAAACGAUGGGAUUCAUAAAAUGUAAAACUGAUGUCCCGGCAGGAGAUUUUAAAUCAUGGAGAUUUUAAAUCAUGAUUCAUUACUUUCAGCAUGAUGUGCUCUGGAUGAAUCAGUCAGGUGGAUUGAAACCUUUUGAUCCAGAAUAUGUCAGCGAGUAACUAAAGAACACUGUGCACUUUAAUCGCCACGUGUAGAGUAUACCUCGGGAAAUAAUACCUCGCACCAGCAAGUGCUGUAUCUCAUCUUCCAAUGGACAGACUUCCUCAGAAAGUCAGUUGUUCUUUCGAGGACCCUGACCUGGAGUUAAUCGCUGACUACGGUUCUUCGUGGGAGUGGGGCCCACUCUUGGGGUCUCAAGAGUGGCCGCAACAUGAUAUCCCAAGGACGCGGCCUAGAAGACUAGCGUGCCUUCGGGGUUCCAGGAUUUAGUGACUCUGAAAGUGAGCGGACUUGAGGUCAGUGCCUCCGUAGGAAGCUGGUGUGUCGUGGGAGAACACGGAAGAUUGAAAGCAGUGAGCCCAGAGACACGAGAUCUUUGGGCAGAGAGCUCAGAAAAAGCGACACAACAGACUUUUAACAUCAUAAAUCCGCACUCACAAAAAGAAUGCAAUGGAAUCCAUGAAAAAUCCCACACAAAGAAAACUUCUGAUGUGUGGAUAACAAGAUCAAAUAUUACAUAUGAAAAUUACACCUUCUGGAAUGAUGGUCUGAGAAAGGCAGUUGUAUGUAUACAACUAUACAUACCUGUACCUGUACAGUCAUUUGCUAGAUAAUCUACAUGGGCCAGAAAAUAAUAUUUUUUAAAAAUUUGUUAUUGGGUUUGAUCUUUAAUGGACUUUUUCAAUUUAUUGAAAAGGGUGUCCUCAGAUAGUGUCAAUGACUCUCCAGACUGCACUGUUUCUAAAGAUUAGCUUUAUUUGUCACACGUACAGCGAAACACAGUGAAAUGCGUCACUUGCAUCGGGGAUGUGCUGGGGGAAGCCUGUCAGCGUCAUCACACUUCCAGUGCCAACAUAGCAUUCCCACAGCUUUCUUAUCCUAACCCGUACUUCUUUAGAAUGUGGGAGGAAACCUACACCAUCGCUGGGAGUACAUGCAGACUCCUUACAGACAGUGGUGUGAAUUCAGCCCUGGGCUUACAGCUGGAACUGACCAAUCUACUAGUUAGUGUAUUUAUCUAUUAUAUAAGCAGAAGUGACAGAAAUUCUAAAUUGUUCUUUCCCAUUUGGGCAGCGACCAAUGAAAAUGGAAAAAAAACAAAUGAUAUAAAUCUAGAGGUUUCAUAGACAAUACAGUUCAGGAACAGACCCUUUGACCCACCUAUGCUUAACCAAUUAACUCAGUAAUCAAAUGGCCAACUAAACUAAUCCCCUCUAUCUACAAAAUAUCCUUAUCUUUUAAGUUUCUUCAUAUUUAUGUGCCUAUCUAAAUGUCUCUUAAAAGUCCCUAAUGUAAACACUGCUACCACCAUCCCAGGCAGCGCAUUCCAGGCAUCCACCAGUCUUUGUGUAAAAAAUCUUGCCCCUCACAUUUCUUUUGAAAUGAUUCCCUCUCACCUUCAUUGUAUGUCCUCUGAUAUUAGACAUUGCUAUCCCGAGAAAAAUAUACUGUCUGCACUUUCUGUGCCUCUCAUCUUAUAAACCUCUAACAGAUCUCCUUUCAGCCUCUGCCACUUCAGAGAAAACAGCACAAGCCUGUCCAGACCCUUGAUUUAGCACACACCCUCUAAUCCAGGCAGCAUCCUGGUAAACCUCUUCUGCAGCCUCUCCAAAGCCUUGACAUCCUUUCUACAGUGGAAGGACCAGAACUGAAAGUCUCCACAGGUUAGGCAGCAUCUACAAAGGAGAAACUGAGAUAACAUCAAACUUUUUGACGGAAAUAUUAGCCCUGUUUCUUUUUCCACAGAUACUGCCUGACCUAUUGAUUAUUUUCCAGCAUUUCCAGUGGCCUAGUUGAAUGCCCUAGUAGAUGAUCUUUCAUUGAUUCUGUAAUGCUUAUUAUUCUGAAGAUUUGUUGAGUAUGCCCACAAGAAACUGAAUCUCAGGUUUGUAUACGUUGACAUAUAUGUAGUUUGAUAAUAAAUUUACUUUGAAAUUUAAAUUUUGAUUUCCUACUUUGUAAUGGAUGUCAGUUAGCUGCAUGAAUUACUCAGAAAGCAAAAAAUAUAUCACACUGAUAGAAAUAUGGUAUUCCAUUUGUUGUAGGGGAAAAAUUAGUUAGGGUUAAUAACUAGUAAAUAGUGAUGUGGGUUGAGCUAAUGUGGUAACAGGAAACUGUAGACAAAAAAAGAGACAUGGAAUGCAGCAACGAUGAUACCCAAGUUCAUUUAUCAUUUUAUAGCUUGCACCGAUCAUUGUAAACAGAAAACUGAUUUACUGUUAGACCUGUGGAUAUCAUUUUAUUCUCUAAUCAUGGCCUUGUCUGUUACUUUAUUAAGUCUUCCUGUUGCCACCAUUCUGUGCAGUGAUGGGGGUGUUGUGGGGGAAAGAAUAGCAAGGGCAGGUAAUGACCAGUAAAUAGUAAAUGCUGGAGGAACACAGCAGGUCAGGCUGCAUCUAUGGAAGUGAAUAAACAGUCAAAAUUACAGGCCAAAACCCUUCAUCAGGACUGGAAAGGAAGGGGGAUCCAGGGGGAAAUAAUAAGCAGGUGAGAAGAGGUAAGAGGC